CAUAUCAAUCAUUAAUUAAGAAAAUGCCCUGUAGACUUGCCUAUGGAUCAAUCCUGGGGAGGUAUUUUCUUAAUUAAGAUUUCUUCUUUGUGGAGGUCGCUAACUUGCGUCAAACUGACAGAAAACAAGCUACACAGGGUCUGUGAGUCCGAUAUGGUGUCAGCUAUAUCCUCAAAGAAUCUAAAGGAAGUCUUCAGAGUGGGUGGGACUUAGCCCUCUGAAGGGGCGAGAAUGGAGAGAGAAGGAGGGAUGAGUGUUCAGGGGACCAGUUAGAUCUGGGGUGUCUGUGGCGGCCCAGAGCGGGUCUCUGGCUCAGUGUAGGUGCGUCUGGUGGGGCGGGGCUGUGAUGCCGAGGCAGAUCAUGGAGACCACAGAGAACAACAUGCACUCCAUCCUAUCAUCUUGGGCAGCAACAGAGAAUUGCAGGUAGGAAAGUUCGAGAAGGAUUUAGAAGCCAAGAUGGUAUCCGGAAGGCUCAGCUGGGCAUGCUCUCAGAGCUCCUCCUGGGGAGGACGGAAGAGAACGUGCUGGGCCGAUUCCCCUUCAGGGAGCUUCUUCUUGCUGCCAGUCUGCCCUCUCGGGGACCAUAAAGUUGGGCACUGUGGCUAAUUAUAGGCUGAAAGAGGCCCAGGGCAGGGAGACUGGGGACCUGUGGGGGUUGGGUGGGGUGCCGUGAGCAGGAGCCAUCAUGCUGGCCUGGUGUAGACACUCGAGGCCCCCCAUAAAGUGGCUCAGAGCAGGCCCUUUUACAGGCAUUCAGGGAUGGAGCAUGACAUCACCACAAGCCAAUCAGAGACACCCUGGACCUACUCUUCUCCAGGGCUUGUUUCUGUGGUGCCUGAGGUAGAUUCUUGGGAAAGUGGACGCUUUCUUCUGGAGUUCUUGUACUCGGUGGGUUCUGAGUGAGUCUCCGCGAAGGGAGCCAGGCUCUGAGGCUGCUAAUGCUCUUUCAAGAUGGAAGUGCCGCACCCCUCAGGCAUUUUGAAUUGGCUUCCUGGGGUCCCCUUCCAACCACACACAUCCUCUACCAUCUUCUAAUGAAUCAACUUUUCACAUAGACCUGAUUGAGAAAAACCAUCCACAUAUUUGAAAACUUUAUGAAAGACAGAGGCUGGAGACUGAAGAGAUGCGAAUUUAAAUUCUCCUUUCUCUUCCCACUGUCUGUGUCUUUCUUGGACAAGUUCUUUGGCUCAGGAGCCUCAGUUUUUCCAUCUCUGCAAUGGGCCAACAACACCCACUUUGCAGGUUAGUUGGGAGCACCAAGCUUGAUGGCUGGGCAUUAAUACUUGACAGCCGUGAAGUAAGUAUUUUGACGAAGUCAUUCUUCCUUAUCCUCGAUUUCAAGAUGUACAAAGACAUACAAAGCCUUCCCAGGGCUACUUCCCACACUCGAUUUAUGGGGUAGAUGAUCUUAAAGAAGACGGAAAUGAGGCCCAGACAGACAGAGGGUCUUGUGAAAGCGACUCUGGCUAAUUAAGCUCUGUUUGUAGUUCUUUGGCGAAGCACAAUCAUUUGUUAACUCUAAUUAAGAGAAACUAUAAAACCAAUAUAGAACCCAACUGAACGUUUGGAAAACAGGGGGUGAGGGAUGAACCUUUCCUCCUGAGGCUGGCAGCCUAGCAUGGGCAGUGGGGACCUGGUUAGAACAUGCUGGCCUUGACCAUAAACUCCACAGGACCUGGCUCCUCAUCCCAGGCCAGCCGUUACCAUGCUGAUGGUUUCCUGGGACUUCACAGAACGGACACUGAACUUUGCUUUCAUUCUCCCCGAGUUGGAGUGAGAUUCCAACGGACACCUCUUUGUGCCCACAGAACACGUCUCUUGUCUGUCUCAUUUCCUUCAGAUACGUUCACAGAGGCGGAAUUGGUGGCUCUCAGGAUGGGAACGUUUUUGUGGCCUGUGGUACAUAUUUUCCAAUUUAUGUCCCAUAAAGGCCCUUGCUUUCUUUGCCUCCAGCUGAGUUUUAUCUGUCUAGAAAUUUCUAUGCAGCCUUACCAGCACUGAGUGUUACUGUUUGCUGUUUAGCUUGCUACACGAAAGCAAGUGCAUGGUCUGCCCUGCCAGACCCUAGUGAUGAUUGUCAUAAAACGGGGCUGCCUCCAAAGGUGAGAUAAACAAAUGAUUACAGCGUACAAUGGAAACCCAGACUGACCCUGAUGAAUGAAGCUGCUAAUGUGAUCUCCGGGGUGUAUGUCAGCCAAGGGCUUCCCCUGUGGCUUUAAGCUACAGAGAAGCAUCGACAACAGGCUGACUCAUAAAGUUCCCCAAGAAGCUAUCAAGUAUGGUUUGGACCAACUGCCCUUUGGAUGGGGUUUGUUGUCAGCACUGGGUUUUAAAGGCAGUAAUGGAGACUCAGAGGGUGGAUUAGAUGGGGAGGAGGUCUGCAAAUCAAGCCUGCUUCUUUGUUGCCGUUCUCUACAUUGUUUCUGCCCUCCUCGGGUCUCCAGGUGACUAGUCUUUCUCAGAGAGACUUUUGAGUUGCAGCCUCGUAGUCCCUGUGAUAGAAUCACACCAGGUGUCCAGACUGUCCAGGGAAACUUUUUUGCUUGCCAUUUUUCCCAAAUACACCAAAUAUAGACAUACAUUUGUCUUCUGCCUGUGACUGUGAAUUCAAGACGUCCUACGUAGAGUGAAUGUGUGGGCUAACCAAUAAGGCCGUGUGGCUCACUGAAGCUUUUGUGGGACUUGGCAUGUCUGGAAACAGCUCAGAUUUUCUGCAAAGGAGCUGGCACCCUGCUGCAGUUGUUUGGCGCAGACAAACAAAUGGCCGUGGUGCUUGUGGGAAACGAGGGACACAAUGUGAAUUAGGGCAGUGCUUCUCAAACUGGAACCUGUGUUAGAGUUUCUUGUAAGGCUUGUUAAAACACAGCUUCCUGCAGCCCACCCCCAGAGUUCCUGCCUGAUUCUGAUAUGACCUCUGUAGGAAUCAGCAACACUGAUUCCUACUGUAAUUCAAACUGUAAGCAACACUGGAUUAGGGUAACACCAAAUACUAUAGCAACUCCUGCCUGUCAGCAGCCUAAGUCUGUGAGAGUAUAUUCUCAUUCAUUAACAGGGGAAUGACUGAAUAUUUUCCCCAAUACUACUGGGAAAAGUCAGAUGUGAAUGAAUUGAUGCCAAAUGUCAACAGAGAAAGGCAAUUUGUCAAAUUAUA